rnacentral:lncRNA from 1 species
UAUAUUGCAAUCGAAUUGAUUUUCCUAGCUUGUUUUAUGUGCUUUUAGCAACUAGAGCUAAAAGCUUUUUCAGAUAAUCAAAAGUGUUUUAAGUGCAUUUGUAAGGAGUUGGGAGCUCGUUGUCGAGUUUUUACUUAGAAACUACUUGCAGCUCAAGACUUGGGAAAGUUUUGUGGUCUCGUAUUUUAAAGGGAGUUUUAAUGAAAAUGGCUUGGACUAACUUUUAUUUAAUGAAAAACCAUCAUAAACUAUUAUUUAAUAAAAAGGGCUUAAAUUUUAAUAAUAAGGACUUGAAAUUUAAUCAAAAAAGGACAAAAACUAAAUACUCUAAUGAAAAAACCAAGCCCAUGUGCAAAACCAAACUUUUUUUUACAGGCGCUACCCCUGACGGAAGCCCCAUUCCGUCAGUUAAUGCCACUACCUUACCCAUUAAACGCGAAAGUGAUGAUAGAGGAUACGAAAGCCAUUAGUAUACAUGCUGCAAAUCUACAUGUCAAAGCCCCACCAAUUUGAAAGCAAAAUCUUUGAAAAUCUUGCUUUCAACAAAUAUAAGCAGCAUGUAUAUAUGUAGCACCAAAUGUGAAGUACAAUGCCAUCUGUUCAGCAAAUUUUUUAGCUUUUGUUAUCAUGAAACAAACUUUUAAAGGAAAACUAAUGAAAAGAGCUUGAAAACUUUGAGUUUUAACGAUAAGGACAAAAUAAAGGGUAAAGUGAAUAGUAUCAGGAUUGACUUUUUAGUGUAAAAAUGUGGUUUUUCGUUAAAGUGAACAGUACCGGGAGCUUUUCGUUAAAGUUCCCAACUUUUAAUUGGUAUGCUCCAGUAAAUUAAUGCACAGUAAAUAAACGAUCGAAUAGACGCUUUGUGUUUUUGUUAAAAUUAGAUAGAGGAAAUCUAAAAAACAUCCCUUGGAUGCUUUUUGUACUCAAAUUCAAAUCUAAAAUCAUAACAAAACACCAAAAUUUUAUAAAAGAAAUCUAUUUCGAAAGAAAUCUAUAAAUAUGCUCUGAUUGGAAGUAUCAUGAAUUUUUUGAGGUAAAUUGUAUGAUAUAAUUGGUCUUUCAGAUUGAUCAUUAGUGGGGUUUUUUUUUUCAGAUCAAGAAAUAGUUCGGUUCUAGAAAACUUAGUUUUUGCACUACUUCUCUAUAAAAACCUGGUCAAUGUAUUGAAGAUCAAUUGUUACUUGUGGGACAUACGUUCCAUAUGGAGUAAUUAUGUUGUACCAACUGUUUGAAUUGAGUUAAUAUUUGUUUAGACAUAAGCUUUUAGGCUUUGAUUGGAUGAAGUAUUUGGGACCCAUAAGCUGAUGAGAGGUACUAAUCUCAUUUUCUUGUUAAUUACUUAUUUCAAAUUAAUGUUUGCAUGUUUGUGAUCCAUAAACUUAGUAAUGUUUAUAACUCACAUCAAUGUUUAUGAUUAUGUUUUUUUUUUUUUUUUUGGAAACUAGUUUAUGAUUAUGUUUGGAAGUCUCAUGCAAUUGCCUUGGAUCUAUCUCAUUAUAAAAUUGAACUCAUGCGUGUGUAUAGUGUUCCGUUUGAGAAAUAAUUAGUGUUUAGUUUACGAAACAGUGAUAAUACUAGUGUUCCGUUUGAUAAAUAGUCAAUAUUUAGUUUACGAAACAAUGAUAGUACAAUGUUCCGUUUGAGAAAUAAUCAGUGUUUAGUUUACGAAUAGUGAUAGUACUAGUGUUCCGUUUGAUAAAUGGUCAAUGUUUAGUUUACGAAAUAGUGAUAGUACUAGUCAGUGAUAGUACUAGUGUUCCGUUUGAUAAAUAAUCAGUGUUUAGUUUACGAAACAAUGAUAGUACUAGUGUUCCGUUUCAUAAAUAGUCAGUGUUUCGUUUACGAAACAGUGAUAGUACUAUUGUUCGUUUGAUAAAUAGUCAUUGUUUAGUUUACGAAACAGUGAUAGUACUAGUGUUCCGUUUAAGAAAUAGUCAGUGUUUAGUUUACGAAACAGUGAUAUUAAUAGUGUUCCGUUUAAUAAAUAGUCAGUGUUUAGUUUACAAAACAGUGAUAGUACUAAUGUUCGUUUGAUAAAUAGUCAAUGUUUAGUUUACGAAACAGUGAUAGUACUAGUGUUCGUUUGAUAAAUAGUCAGUGUUUAGUUUACUAAACAAUGAUAGUACUAGUGUUCCAUUUAAUAAAUAGUCAGUGUUUAGUUUACGAAACAGUGAUAGUACUAAUGUUCGUUUGAUAAAUAGUCAUUGUUUAGUUUACGAAACAGUGAUAGUACUAGUGUUCGUUUGAUAAAUAGUCAGUGUUUAGUUUACUAAACAAUGAUAGUACUAGUGUUCUGUUUAAGAAAUAGUUAGUAUUUAGUUUACGAAACAGUGAUAGUACUAGUGUUCUGUUUAAUAAAUAAAUAGUCAGUGUUUAGUUUAUAAAACAGUGAUAGUACUAGUGUUUAGUUUAAGAAAUAGUCAGUGUUUAGUUUACGAAACAGUGAUAGUGCUAGUGUUCUGUUUAAGAAAUAGUUAGUGUUUAGUUUACGAAACAAUGAUAGUACUAGUGUUCGUUUGAUAAAUAGUCAAUAUUUAGUUUACGAAACAGUGAUAGUACUAGUGUUCCGUUUAAGAAAUAGUCAGUGUUUAGUUUGCGAAACAGUGAUAGUACUAGUGUUCCGUUUAAUAAAUAGUCCAUGUUUAGUUUACAAAACAGUGAUAGUGCUAGUGUUUAGUUUAAGAAAUAGUCAGUGUUUAGUUUACGAAACAAUGAUAGUGCUAGUGUUUUGUUUAAGAAAUAGUAAGGCCAUCUCCAACCGAAGGGUCCAGAGGGUCAGAGGGCCGAAAAUAGCCCUAAAACCGUCUCCAACCG